AUUGAACGCUGGCGGCAGGCCUAACACAUGCAAGUCGAGCGGAUGAAGGGAGCUUGCUCCUGGCUUCAGCGGCGGACGGGUGAGUAAUGCCUAGGAAUCUGCCUGGUAGUGGGGGAUAACGUCCGGACACGGGCGCUAAUACCGCAUACGUCCUGAGGGAGAAAGUGGGGGAUCUUCGGACCUCACGCUAUCAGCUGAGCCUAGGUCGGAUUAGCUAGUUGGUGGGGUAAAGGCCUACCAAGGCGACGAUCCGUAACUGGUCUGAGAGGAUGAUCAGUCACACUGGAACUGAGACACGGUCCAGACUCCUACGGGAGGCAGCAGUGGGGAAUAUUGGACAAUGGGCGAAAGCCUGAUCCAGCCAUGCCGCGUGUGUGAAGAAGGUCUUCGGAUUGUAAAGCACUUUAAGUUGGGAGGAAGGGAAGUAAGUUAAUACCUGGCUGUUUUGACGUUACCAACAGAAUAAGCACCGGCUAACUUCGUG
rnacentral:rRNA from 1 species